GUGUGGUAGCUCAGUCGGUAGAGCGGCGCACUCGUAAUGCGUAGGUCGGCGGUUCGAGUCCGCCCGUCGGCUCCA
rnacentral:tRNA from 1 species